UACGGAGGGUGCGAGCGUUGUCCGGAAUCAUUGGGCGUAAAGGGCGCGUAGGUGGCCCGGUCAGUUCGUGGUGAAAGCGCGGGGCUCAACCCUGCGUCGGCCAUGAAUACUGCCGCGGCUGGAGCACUGUAGAGGCAGGCGGAAUUCCGGGUGUAGCGGUGGAAUGCGCAGAUAUCAGGAAGAACACCCGUGGCUAAGGCGGCUCUCUAGUACGGUACUGACGCUGAGACGCGAAAGCGUGGGGAGCGAACAGG
rnacentral:rRNA from 1 species